rnacentral:rRNA from 1 species
UACGUAGGUGGCGAGCGUUGUCCGGAAUCAUUGGGCGUAAAGCGCGCGUAGGCGGCCCUGUAAGUCCGUUGUGAAAGUCAAAGGCUCAACCUUUGAAAGCCGAUGGAUACUGCAGGGCUAGAGUCCGGAAGAGGCGAGUGGAAUUCCUGGUGUAGCGGUGGAAUGCGCAGAUAUCAGGAGGAACACCAAUAGCGAAGGCAGCUCGCUGGGACGGUACUGACGCUGAGGAGCGAAAGCGUGGGGAGCGAACAGG